GUUGUAGAGGUUUGCCCUUUAACUUGUAGCUACUGGAUAUAUGUGCUGGGUACUUCCACUUACAUUUCAGGUACUGCUCACUGCCAUACAUUAAAAUACAGAAAAUGCUCUUGGUCAAAACUGAAGUCUGUUUUUUUUGGAUGGUAUUAUGUUAUACCUCUUUUGCUUCAAUGGGUAACAAACAUUGCCAUGACUCCUGUAACACAUCCACCCUCCAGGCUCCACUAGGCUCUGCGGUGCUCCUGUCAUGCAGCUUUGGGUCCACCUCUCUGGGCAUUAGCCCUGGCCAUGGCUGGGUGGUGUGGAACCAGGGCUCUGGUUCUGGUGCCAGCCUGGUCAACAUCACGUCCUCUGGGAAGGUGGACUUUCCGGACCCCAGGCAGGGCAGAGUGAAGGCUUUCCCCAAUCAGGGAGGUCUGGGGAACUUCUCCAUCCUAAUCGAUGCCCUUCAGGCCUCAGACGUGGGCUCCUACUGUUGUGAGCUGCAGAGUCAUGACCAGUGCCAUCGAGUGGAAGUUGAAGAACUUGAAGAAGGUUCACACAUCGUGUUGUUUUUCAGCGUCGGCAGUUUGGCCAUCCUCCUAGUGCUCCUAAGUGGCUGUUUCUGCUGAGUGAAAUGGACACGAGUUUCUACUGAAAGAACACCAGACUAUAUCAACACCCAUUUCUGUGCAGGAUCCAGUGCACCUCCUGAGGAUGUUGCAUGUAGUGACAAUGUCGGGAGAGAUGUGGUACAGGAGAGAGGAGUCGGCAAUGAGCGACCGAUCUAUGAAAACAAUGAACAUGAUCCAACCAGAAUGCAGCAUGAUCCGACCAGAAUUCACCAUGAUCCGACCACAAUUCAGCACGAUCCGACCAGAAUUCAGCACGAUCCAACCAGAAUUCAGCAUGAUCCCACCAGAAUUCAGCAUGAUCCCACCACAAUUCAGCACGAUCUGUCCAGAAUUCAGCAUGAUCCCACCACAAUUCAGCAUGAUCCAACCAGAAUUCAGCAUGAUCCAACCAGAAUUCAACAUGAAGCACAAAGAAACCAGCACGAACCAGUUAGAUACAAAAAUAAAUUGAGAGAUUCGAGUGAGAACAGAAGACAGGGGUUUCAUGGAGAACUCAUGAGCAGAUUGCGCCAAUCAAGUCUCGGACAGCGUUACUAUGCAAACCAAGCCGAUAUCAACCAGCAAACCAGAGUUCAGAUGGACAACCACCAAAGAGCAAACGAAGCAAAGAUCAACCAGGAUGGCAGAUCCCAAAUGGACAACUGCCAAAGAGCUGUCCUACACACUAUGCUUUACAGUAAUCUCUGAAACAAAUCAAUAUGCACUCUAGCAUUUUGUUAUUAAAGCAUUGUCUCCUCAUUGCAGGAAGCUUUUGGAGAAAGAAACCCAAAGAGCGUAAGUUGCUUUUUUUUUUACACACAACAUACUGUAUAAUCAUAAUAAUUUAUAUUAAGACCUCUCUCUCUCCCAGAAUGUGAAUAUGAAAACCCAAUCUAUAACAGUGUAGUCCAACUCCACAAACUAUAGACGAGGAUGAAGAGGAUACUGGGUCUCAACUCCUUGGUCUCAAUUUUGUUUAGAUUGUAUUUUAUUAUUUUUUGUAAAUAAAGUACAUUACAUUGUCUUGAAAGUGAAACAAAUAUGAAAUAAAGUUAAAU
ensembl:lncRNA